AUUAGUUACACAUGACAGUACAAUGACCUUGACAUAUCAUACAUUUGAAUCAGAUGGGAUAUAAUAUCUCAUUUUUCUGAGUAUACAGGUUGCAGAAUCACAUUGGUCAUGCAUUCACAUAUAUACAUGCAGUAAUAAUAAUGUUUGUUUCAUUCUCUAUCCUUCCUAUCUCCCUAACCCCUCCCCUCCCCUCCCAUCACUUCUCUCUACCUAAUCUAGGGUAAUGCUAUUCUUUUUUUUUUCUCACAUCUUCAUACAUGUAUUUUGUAUAACAAUGAGGGUCUCCUUCCACCAUCCAUACAAUUCCCUUUCUCCUUCCCUUUCCCUCCCACCCCUCUUCCCUAUGUAGAGGUAAUCUUCUUCCCAUGCUCUUCCUCUCUUCCCCAUUUUGAGUCACCUCACCUUAUAUCAGAGAAGACAUUCAGCAUUUGUUUUUUGGGGAUUGGCUAACUUUACUUAGCAUAAUCUGCUCUAAUGCUGUCUGUUUCCCUGCAAAUGCCAUGAUCAUCUUAUUUUUUAGUGCUGAGUAAUAUUUCAUUGUGUAUAUAUGCCACAUAUAAAGUAUGUUGACACCAAUUCGUGUCUUCAUACAUGUACUUUGGAAAUGAUGUCUAUCACAUUCCACCAUCCUUGCUAAUCCCCUGCCUCUUCCCUUUCCCUCCCACCCCUCUGCCCUAUCUAGAAUUUAUCUGUUCCUCCCAUGCUCCCCCUCCC
rnacentral:lncRNA from 1 species